rnacentral:rRNA from 1 species
UGGGGAAUAUUGGACAAUGGGGGGAACCCUGAUCCAGCCAUGCCGCGUGUGUGAAGAAGGCCUUAUGGUUGUAAAGCACUUUAAGCGAGGAGGAGGGUACUGGUAUUAAUACUACCAGCUACUGGACGUUACUCGCAGAAUAAGCACCGGCUAACUCUGUGCCAGCAGCCGCGGUAAUACAGAGGGUGCGAGCGUUAAUCGGAUUUACUGGGCGUAAAGCGUGCGUAGGCGGCUAAUUGAGUCGGAUGUGAAAUCCCCGUGCUUAACUUGGGAAUUGCAUUCGAUACUGGUUAGCUAGAGUGUGGGAGAGGAUGGUAGAAUUCCAGGUGUAGCGGUGAAAUGCGUAGAGAUAUGGAGGAAUACCGAUGGCGAAGGCAGCCAUCUGGCCUAACACUGACGCUGAGGUACGAAAGCAUGGGGAGCAAACAGG